GGUCGAACACGAAACCGACCGCGACUCCGCGUGGCGCGUCCGACCUCCCGGCCCAGGCCGACACAAGAACCGUCAGAAGAACCGAGAGGCAGAGCCAGCCCAUGGUGGACCUCUUCGCCGCAGACUUGAGAGGAAAGUGAGGUGCUGGACGCGGAGACCCCGCGGCGAACGAACAGGACCUGGUGAGAGUGAAUCAAGUCUUCUUUGGCCUGGAAUCGGAAUUACCGUGCGACUGCUGGAAAAGUCAUUUCCUGCCGGAGCGGAGCGAAAAAUGGGGGUGUGUCCCACUUGGAUCGAGCCCCUCUUACCCUGGUGUACCCAGAGAAAACGGAUGGACGCAAAAGACUCCUAAUUGAAGAA